GACGAACGCUGGCGGCGUGCUUAACACAUGCAAGUCGAACGGAAAGGCCCUGCUUUUGUGGGGUGCUCGAGUGGCGAACGGGUGAGUAACACGUGAGUAACCUGCCCUUGACUUUGGGAUAACUUCAGGAAACUGGGGCUAAUACCGGAUAGGAGCUCCUGCUGCAUGGUGGGGGUUGGAAAGUUUCGGCGGUUGGGGAUGGACUCGCGGCUUAUCAGCUUGUUGGUGGGGUAGUGGCUUACCAAGGCUUUGACGGGUAGCCGGCCUGAGAGGGUGACCGGCCACAUGGGGACUGAGAUACGGCCCAGACUCCUACGGGAGGAAGCAGUGGGGAAUAUUGCACAAUGGGCGGAAGCCUGAUGCAGCAACGCCGCGUGCGGGAUGACGGCCUUCGGGUUGUAAACCGCUUUCGCCUGUGACGAAGCGUGAGUGACGGUAAUGGGUAAAGAAGCACCGGCUAACUACGU
rnacentral:rRNA from 1 species